rnacentral:rRNA from 6 species
AAAUUGAAGAGUUUGAUCAUGGCUCAGAUUGAACGCUGGCGGCAGGCCUAACACAUGCAAGUCGAACGGUAACAGGAAGAAGCUUGCUUCUUUGCUGACGAGUGGCGGACGGGUGAGUAAUGUCUGGGAAACUGCCUGAUGGAGGGGGAUAACUACUGGAAACGGUAGCUAAUACCGCAUAACGUCGCAAGACCAAAGAGGGGGACCUUCGGGCCUCUUGCCAUCGGAUGUGCCCAGAUGGGAUUAGCUUGUUGGUGGGGUAACGGCUCACCAAGGCGACGAUCCCUAGCUGGUCUGAGAGGAUGACCAGCCACACUGGAACUGAGACACGGUCCAGACUCCUACGGGAGGCAGCAGUGGGGAAUAUUGCACAAUGGGCGCAAGCCUGAUGCAGCCAUGCCGCGUGUAUGAAGAAGGCCUUCGGGUUGUAAAGUACUUUCAGCGGGGAGGAAGGGAGUAAAGUUAAUACCUUUGCUCAUUGACGUUACCCGCAGAAGAAGCACCGGCUAACUCCGUGCCAGCAGCCGCGGUAAUACGGAGGGUGCAAGCGUUAAUCGGAAUUACUGGGCGUAAAGCGCACGCAGGCGGUUUGUUAAGUCAGAUGUGAAAUCCCCGGGCUCAACCUGGGAACUGCAUCUGAUACUGGCAAGCUUGAGUCUCGUAGAGGGGGGUAGAAUUCCAGGUGUAGCGGUGAAAUGCGUAGAGAUCUGGAGGAAUACCGGUGGCGAAGGCGGCCCCCUGGACGAAGACUGACGCUCAGGUGCGAAAGCGUGGGGAGCAAACAGGAUUAGAUACCCUGGUAGUCCACGCCGUAAACGAUGUCGACUUGGAGGUUGUGCCCUUGAGGCGUGGCUUCCGGAGCUAACGCGUUAAGUCGACCGCCUGGGGAGUACGGCCGCAAGGUUAAAACUCAAAUGAAUUGACGGGGGCCCGCACAAGCGGUGGAGCAUGUGGUUUAAUUCGAUGCAACGCGAAGAACCUUACCUGGUCUUGACAUCCACAGAACUUUCCAGAGAUGGAUUGGUGCCUUCGGGAACUGUGAGACAGGUGCUGCAUGGCUGUCGUCAGCUCGUGUUGUGAAAUGUUGGGUUAAGUCCCGCAACGAGCGCAACCCUUAUCCUUUGUUGCCAGCGGUCCGGCCGGGAACUCAAAGGAGACUGCCAGUGAUAAACUGGAGGAAGGUGGGGAUGACGUCAAGUCAUCAUGGCCCUUACGACCAGGGCUACACACGUGCUACAAUGGCGCAUACAAAGAGAAGCGACCUCGCGAGAGCAAGCGGACCUCAUAAAGUGCGUCGUAGUCCGGAUUGGAGUCUGCAACUCGACUCCAUGAAGUCGGAAUCGCUAGUAAUCGUGGAUCAGAAUGCCACGGUGAAUACGUUCCCGGGCCUUGUACACACCGCCCGUCACACCAUGGGAGUGGGUUGCAAAAGAAGUAGGUAGCUUAACCUUCGGGAGGGCGCUUACCACUUUGUGAUUCAUGACUGGGGUGAAGUCGUAACAAGGUAACCGUAGGGGAACCUGCGGUUGGAUCACCUCCUUACCUUAAAGAAGC